rnacentral:rRNA from 1 species
GUGUCAGCAGCCGCGGUAAUACGGAGGGUGCAAGCGUUGCUCGGAAUUAUUGGGCGUAAAGGGCAGGUAGGUGGUCUCAUUUGUCUGAGGUGAAAGCCUUGGGCUCAACCUGAGAAGGGCCUCAGAAACGGUGAGACUAGAGUCCUGGAGAGGGUCGUGGAAUUCCCGGUGUAGCGGUGAAAUGCGUAGAGAUCGGGAGGAACACCAGAGGCGAAGGCGGCGACCUGGACAGGCACUGACACUCAACUGCGAAAGCGUGGGGAGCAAACAGGAUUAGAUACCCUAGUAGUCC